UUGUGGCAAGGAUGAUGAUACAAUUAGAUGCCUGAGAGGUGAAUAUCUCUUUGAAUUUAAUUAACGAGGCUUAUUGAUAUCCUGACUUGCCGAUG
rnacentral:snoRNA from 1 species